GCCUCCAAUUACCUGCAGGAGUUACCAUAUGGUGGUUGGGUUGCCCCUAACAUUUAUUACAUGGGUUAUGCAGGUGUGAUACAGGUUGGAGGGGUGCGAAUUGGAGGUCUGUCUGGAAUAUUUAAAGGAAGAGAUUAUAACAAAGGUCACUUUGAGCAUAGUCCGUUCAAUAAUGAAACCAAAAGAACUGUGUAUCAUGUUCGCAGUUUUGAUGUUUUUAGAUUGAAACAGAUUUCUAGACCUGUAGAUAUAUUUCUGUCUCAUGACUGGCCUAGAGGAAUAUACAACUUUGGCAAUGUAAACAUGCUCCUGAAGAAAAAGCAGUAUUUCCGCGAGGAAGUGGAACAAGAUCGUCUAGGAAGUCCUGCAGCCAAAGAGCUCCUGUUUCACAUCAAGCCAGACUAUUGGUUUGCUGCUCAUCUCCACGUUAAAUUUCCUGCCAUUGUUCAACAUCAGAGUUCAGAUGGAAAUCAGAAGACUACAAAGUUUUUAUCACUUGAUAAAUGUUUACCAAGGAGGAAGUUUUUACAGAUUUUAGAUGUACCACAUGAUGCAGAAAAGCCAAUCAAAAUUGAAUUGGAUCCCGAGUGGCUAGUGAUCCUGAGGUCCACCAAUCACCUGAUGAAUCUCACUAAAAUGGCCAGGUACAUGCCUGGCCCAGGCUCUAGUGAAAGAUGGGAUUUCACUGUAAAGAAGGAAGAAAUGAACAAGAUUCUGGAGGAUUUCGGAGGAGAUCUGUCCCUGCCUGAGAAUUUUGAGAGGACUGCCCCAAUUCAUGAUCCAAACCAAUCCAAGAAGAAGUCUGGUCCUCCAUCACUAGUGAUUAACCCCCAAACAAGUCUGCUCUGUACCAUGCUAGACCUUACAGAUCCCAAUGCAGUUUUCCUGGGGAAAGAUUCCCACAUAAAGCCUGAGGACUUGUCUGCUAUGGAGUCUGCUAGUGGAGAGAGUCAGGCCACAGAAGGGGAAGAUGAGGAUGAUGAUGUGGAAGAUGAAGAGGAAACAGAAUAUGAAUCAGAACCCAGCUUUAUGUCCAUGUCAGGGAGUGAAAGAAGUUUUCUUUCAUCUAGUAAUGCUGACGAAAGUUUCUUCUCUGAAAACUUGAAUUUCUCAAGGGAUGACCAGAAUGCCAGUUACAACCCAGACGAGAUUUCCAUCUCUGAUGAAGAAGAUGAAUUCAAAGAAAUCAUGGCAGCACAAAGAGAGGCCCAGAAGUCGGAUUCCUCAGACGAGAAACUAGCUUCACCACUUAAAAAUGUGAAUAUAGACUCCGAGAGUUCAUCUUUGAACACCUCUCUAAGAAGUUCAGAAGAUGAAAUAGCAUCUCCAAUUAAGAGCAUAGUUUCUGAGGGCAGUAAAUUAGCUUCACCAAAUAAAAGCUUGCAAGAUAGCUAUGAACUUGAUGAAUUGGACCCAGAAUUUUUGGAAAUGAUAGCUGCUCAGAAGAAGCAUCAAGAUUUAAAAUCUGGAGGCCAUAUCGAAAUAGCUGCCUCGAAUAGUGAUGACGAAGUUGAAGAAAUUUUGAAGGAGCAAAAGUUGAAGAAAUCAAAGGGCAUACCAGAGUCAGCUAGUCCAACAGAGGAGUUAUUGGAUAAUAAAGCUAGCACUGACAAGUCCUCCCAGAAAAGAAACGAGGGAACAGAAUGUGAGGAGAGUCCUCAGACAAAAAGAUUAAAGAGACGCAAUCAGCAACUGUAUACAGAAAGUGACAGCUGACGUUAAGUGAAGUCGGAAAUCAUUUGGGGAAAAAAAAGAUUAAAAUGUGUGCGAAACAAAAUUGAAAUAACAGCCGUGAAGGAAAAUUAAUUAUUAUACUUUUGAUUGCAAUGGUGACAACUUUUCCAUUAAAGACGAUGCAUGGUCUAGACAUAUGUUUAUAAUCUUUAUUAAAAAUGACACCGUAAAUGAAUGCAGUCUGCUUCUGUUCAAAAUGUAAUACUGCUCUACAAAUCAUCAAUUCACUGAGUAUUUUUGAUUUUUGCCCUGUACAUGUAUAACAAAUUCAGAACUUUUAUUUGCUGCACAACUUGCAGGAAAAGUUGCGUGGAUAUACAAGUAUGAAUCGGCUGUCACGGUAUAUCUGUAUUGUGAAUGCAUGUUUUCAUAUAAUCCAUUUAAUACAACAUAAAAUAAAUCAGAUUCAGC
rnacentral:misc_RNA from 1 species